GCCAUGGUGGUGUAGUGGUUAACACAUCUGCCUGAUAAGCAGGAGUCCUGGGUUCGUCCCAGCUUUGGCA